rnacentral:rRNA from 1 species
UACGUAGGGUGCAAGCGUUAAUCGGAAUUACUGGGCGUAAAGCGUGCGCAGGCGGUUUGGUAAGACAGAUGUGAAAUCCCCGGGCUUAACCUGGGAAUUGCAUUUGUGACUGCCCGGCUAGAGUGUGUCAGAGGGGGGUAGAAUUCCACGUGUAGCAGUGAAAUGCGUAGAGAUGUGGAGGAAUACCGAUGGCGAAGGCAGCCCCCUGGGAUAACACUGACGCUCAUGCACGAAAGCGUGGGGAGCAAACAGG